AUGGAUUAACUAACAUUGUAGAACGAUUUUAGUACGUUAAGAAAUCUUGUGAUAGCCACUGUUAUUGUCGGGUAACUGGGGUAUUAGUGGUAUACCUAGAUGAACUUUUUACUGAGGAAAAUAGAAAAUUUAAUACCAAACGGAACAAGACAUUCCAGGAAAAUAUUUCUGAAGCAUUUUUCAAAGAUUUGUGGCAAAGUCCAGAAGGAGGGAAUAUCAGGACCAUUAAUUAUUUCAAAAUGAACAUGAAUGAUUUUAAAAAUUUGGAAUGGAUGUACGAAAUAGUUAAUUAACUUUCGCAUCUGUACGAACAAACCAAUUUCCAUUGUCUUCUCCCCGAAAAAUAAUUUGAAAGGAUAUCUACGAAAGAUUUGGAUAUGGACACACGUCAGCAACACAGAGUCCUGCAGGAUAUAAUAAGAUACUCGUCCCUAAUAAUAAUUUUACUGGAGAUAGUUUUCACUUUCAUCUGUUUAAGAUACGGACGCUUACUCAAAGACAGGUCGUUUAUAAUUUUACUGAAUUUAAGUAUUAUUAGCGCAGUAGUCUUAUCACUGCCCCAUUUUGUUUACAAAUACGAAGACUGCAUAAUUAAGGCCAGGGAAAUAAUAUUUCCCUAUGAAAUCCUGCUAAUAUUAGGCCUACUAUUUAAGUCGUUUUUUAAUUUAAUUAGCCCGAACUGUGAUAUUACCAGACAGAAGUUUGUGAUUUUAUUGUGCCUAAUUUACUUUCUACUUAUGACUAGUGUAGUGUUAGAGAUAACGUCACAGAAAUGUCAUCUGCAAGUAAGCGUAGAAUCCACCAUAUUUUCAAUUUCGGUGUGUAUAUUAUUUAUGAUUUCGAUAGUAGUUUACAACAUAACUUACGCAGUUAAAAUAGGACUGAAAAACUUUUUCCACAUAAAAGAUAUAGAUUUUUUACUGACUAACGCUUACUUCAUAUGCGCAGUUCCUUGGAUGGUCGAUAUGAUACUGAGUAAUUUCAUUUUUCAACCAGAUUACAACCCUUCCUUCAACGACGUUGCUUUUAUUGUAUAUACGCUUAAACCGAUUUAUCUGUUUAUGAUUCUUUAUAACUACAGCGCCAUUUUUAAUACGUACUUUAAAAAAUAUUUUGGAUGUGUUAAGAAAAACAAAGAUAUCAAUGAUCUUGUUGUGUUUAAUAACGAUAUUACUAUUAUCAAUGUUUAUAGUUCCAGUCACAUAUAAACGACUUGAACCCCUCCAUAUCAUUUAUACAGUGUAUUUUUUCUUAAUUGUGUAACUGCGCAUAUCGUAAUAGAUUUUGGAUAAAAUGGUCAUGGUCCUUAUUUAGUUGGUGUAAAUUAGGUAUAUUUCCUUCUACUGUUGUUACAGUAUAUAAAUAAAGUUUAAAUAAAAAA